ACCUGCUAAGCUGAGAGCCAGCCUUUUCUCUUCUGCUGCUGUUGGCUGUCACGACACUAUUGGGUCCAGCUGCUAAGCUGGGAAGCCAAAACGAACUGGGACCUUCUGUGGCUGUGCUGACCAGAGCUAGCCGGAGGUCAGCCCCCGCCCCGUGCGGGACAGAACCAGACACACCUUACAGAGCCAGGAAGAAGAACCUUUGGCAGUCCCUUUGCUCAGAUUGUUGCCUGCUGGCCAUGGCAGCUGCUGCAAUAAGGAGCUGGUCCCUCUGCACCUGCCAUGCUGCAGAUCUUGUGAAGCUUCAGGGCAGCCCACUGCAGUUGCACCAGACCAAGGCUCCAGCCAGCUGAUUUUGGGUGCUGUCUGCAGGAUGAAUGAAAGACCAUUCAAAUCUCUCCAGGAGAACACACAAAGUGAGAGCAAUCUCCUGCUUUCCCCCGCUACAACCAGACCAAUCCCCUGACUGUCUCCCACGAGAACUGCUCAUUGUGUAAAAAUUACAUGUAAUUAUUGAACUAGAAAGGAGGACAGGGUAGG